rnacentral:lncRNA from 1 species
UCCCAGCAUGCACCUGCCUCUCCCUGCACCCCAGCUGUCCACGCUGCCUGUUCCCUCACUUCCUCCAUCCUGUCCAGCAGGAUGGGAUGGGCAGGAGGACAGCCUGUGUGCACAUUUCAUGGCAAGUAGGAGUGACACACCAUCCCUGGGAGGCGCCUUGGUUCCUCCCAAACCCGGCCCCAGAACUCUGUCCCUGGGGUGGUUUUACCAUACCCCAAACCCAGAACUGUGGUUGUGGCUCAGGGGUCAGCACCCACUAGUGCCGGGAUACUACUGGGAGGCUGGGAUCUGACCAAAGCCCGUGGUGUCUGUGGCCUGAGGACAGGGUGUCUUGGGGCCAUAAGGACAGGCCACAAGUUCCCAUUGGGUCAUAGGGGCUCAGCCCCAGUGUUUGUCCUUCCCUGGCUCCUUCCCAUCAGUGCCCUGGAGCCCAAGACCAAGCAUCCAAGGUUCCCUCCAGGAAUCCUGGUGGCUCAGCUUACUUUGUCGUGUUUCAUCUGAGAGCAAAAAUGUCAGAUCGGAUGCACAGAAAAAUGGCUCAACAUGCUUAAUGACUAGAAGAAGUCUAGAAGCAGCAAGAAGGUAAUGUGGAGAGGGGAGGACCUCCAUGGGACUUCCAUGACCGGUAUCUGCAGAGCCAGGGGUACAGGCACCCAGUGCUGUGGACUGGCACCACCUCUCAGAGGGUGGGUAGCACACUGUCCUUACCUGGGGGACAGCAGGCCUGGUCACCAGCUUUUGUACCUGUCUCUGCAAGCAUUGCAUUGCUGGAAGAGAAUCUCAUGCCAGAGCUUGACCAUGCCUUGCUCAGGGGUUAGGGGUUGUCUCUUGGUGACCUAAAUGAAAAAAUAUCUCCAGAUCAUAGUUCCCACAGAGCCCAAGGCUGGAAACCUCCAGAAUCCUCCGGCCCCCGAUCCUCCCCAGGGACCACUGUGGCCUAUCUCACCAGAGCAUUCUUCCAUCUGUAGAUUUCUUGGCUGCUCCACAAGGGAGUCCCACUUCAGGUGUGGUGCUGGGCAUGGUCACUCCUGCUGGAUGUUUAGAAGGUGGAAACCAAGGACCUAGGGAAAUACCAGGUACAGCCUUUCCACCCUCAUCCAGAGAAGGACAAAGAGGCCAGGCGGUGUCAGGAGCCCAGGUCUCCAGCUGGAGGUAACGUCAACCCUGCAGUGGGAGCAGGGGCCCAUUGCACAUCCUAGGCAGAGAUGGUAACAUAGGCACCACAGAAGCACUGCUGACAGUUUGGUGGUUGCCAUUGGGGCAGUGAGCCUUUUGUCCGUUCUGAGUUUGGGCUGGUUUCUCCUCUUGGCCCUGCCCUACAGACCGUAAAGGAAAUCAGCAAGAAGUCCCCAGAAACAUCCACAGAUGGCCCUGGACAUCAGCCACAUUCUGAGAAACAUGUCAUGUUCUGGGAGGGCUAAGGCAUCAAGUAAGUCUUAUGGGGCUGGAGGAUCCCAGGGCAGGUGGGGCGAUCCAGAGCCAUGGGGGCUUCCCAUGGGAAUUGGGAGGUCCCAAGGCAGACGCAGGGGUUCCACAGGAGGAGUCCCAGAGCCACCAAGCGCUCUCCUGUCCCAGGGAGCAGUCAACACCAUGGACUGAACAGUUACUGGGCUUCAAGCUCUGGGCCAGGCUGGGGCAUGUGGGGCCAUGAGGGAGCUCAGAGUGGGAGACAGAGAGACAAGUGUGCUCAGAGGGCACCCAUUUCUGGGUGUAAUGUGGUCCUGAGAUUUUGGCUGAGAAGGGUUUCCAGGGUUUCAUAUGUGUUAUGGAGCUGCUUCCUCUCCCCAGCCUCACCUUGCAGGAAUCCCAGUGAAUAUAUUGCCACCCUAUUUGAGCUCAGUGCCCUCAUAGUGUAAUGGCACCAGCAGAUCUGCCUGUGCAUGGACUUCCUGUACUACCCAUUCCUGAGGGGUGAUGCUUCUGCAGGGCCUGUGACCUUGUGCACAACUUUAGACACCAUCAUCCUGGAGCAGCACUGCACCCUCACUAGCCAGGGUGUUCAUGACUUCCUCAAGGCCAAGGCCACGUUCAAGACUUGGGACUUCAGUGAUGCACUUGUGCUGGGCAAGGUGGCUUCUCCGGUAUCUUAAUUUGGGAGGGCCUCAGUGCAUGGGCGCUGUCCAACCUCUGGUGCUGAAGCAGCCAAGAGACCCAAGCCUGCGUGGCUGCCUCUUAGGAUAUGACAGCACAGCCACUGGCCUCUACUGAAUCCUAUGCAACCUCAGAAGACACCCAGGAGUGAUGCCAUCACGUGGUGCAAGAGUUCUGAGGGACCGCAAUCCUGAAGACAUUGAAUGGUGGGUGCAGGGCCUCAUGGCCUGUUCCCCAGCUCCUCUCAUUGGCUCUGCUCCAGGUGGUGAAGGGGGAUAACAUUUCUGUCAAUUCUGCCAUGAUUGCCUAGCAGGAAAAGGAGCAGAGCCCAGAAGCAGGGCCUGGUAUGCAGCCUGCCUAACAAGGGAGAAUUUAUAGGCUCUGUGGACAGAAAGAUCUGGGAGU